ACCCGCUGAACUUAAGCAUAUCAAUAAGCGGAGGAAAAGAAACCAACAGGGAUUGCCCCAGUAACGGCGAGUGAAGCGGCAUCAGCUCAAAUUUGAAAUCUGGCGUCUUCGGCGUCCGAGUUGUAAUUUGUAGAGAGUGUCUCGGGUGAAGCACCGGUCCAAGUUCCUUGGAACAGGAUAUCAUAGAGGGUGAGAAUCCCGUAUCCGGCCGGCCCCCUUCCCCGCUGUGAGACCUCUUCGACGAGUCGAGUUGUUUGGGAAUGCAGCUCUAAAUGGGAGGUAAAUUCCUUCUAAAGCUAAAUACUGGCCAGAGACCGAUAGCGCACAAGUAGAGUGAUCGAAAGAUGAAAAGCACUUUGAAAAGAGAGUCAAACAGUACGUGAAAUUGUUGAAAGGGAAGCGUAUGCGGCCAGACUUGUCCCCAGUUGCUCAGCCCGUCUUUUGGCGGGUGUACUCUUCUGGGGCCAGGCCAGCAUCGAUUUGGGCGGUCGGAUAAAGGCGGCAGGAAUGUGGCCCCCCUCGGGGGGUGUUAUAGCCUGCCGUGCAAUGCGUCCAGCCCGGAUCGAGGCCCGCGUUCUGCUAGGAUGCUGGCGUAAUGGCCGUAUACGGCCCGUCUUGAAACACGG
rnacentral:rRNA from 1 species